ACUUUUCUCUCACACAUCUGCAGGUUGCCUCGUGUGCUCUCUCAUUUUAUUACUCAAUGUGAAAAGUAGCCCCAAAAGAGAAGAGGGAAACCUGCAUCUGCAAGGAACAUAAACUUCCAAUCUCCUAAGUGUUCAAAGGUCACUGGGGACACUCCAGCUGUGCCACUGAAAUACCCUCUGACUGCACAACUAACUUCAGCAGUGGUACCCUCUUGUCCUCCCCACAUGAGUUCAGUCUUGCUUUUAUCUAGACGUGGCCUGCUCAAGUGGACUGUCACAGUGUGCUGGUACUUACUCUUUACUGAGGCUACUGGUAAAAACCACCACAAAGUUGCUCUAGACAUCUCCAACAAAAGCAACAGGAUUUUUAGUAAAGAGGUGGCAAGAUGUGCAAAACAAAAAUGAACUGGGCACAAGGUGCAAGGAUACUCUCCACAUUGCCUCCUUCCAGAUCUGCCUGAAGCAGGGUCUAUUCCUGUACAAGUAACAUUUCAUGCUAUUACAGACUUCCAAUUUUCCCUGUGAUCAAGACGUCGAAAAUUCAGGGCUGAAACUAAUGGUCUGUGAGACCGAAAUAAAAAUGCUCUCCUUUCUACCACAUACUGAUCAACAUUCUCACUGAUCAUCUGGAAAUGCCUGGGUCAGCAAUCAAGCUCUCAGUGGGUUCAGAGCAACCAGCAGCUGGAUUGACAUUGCUUUCUAAACCAUGCAGAGGUUCCAUGGGCAAAUGGACUUUCUCAUUCUUCUCAUCUGAGUCACCUAAUACACCAGUUGUAGAGGAUUGUUUUGGAAAAAUGUGCUGGUUUUAUGUAGACAUAAUUUUCCUGGCUGACUCUAUUCAGUUAAUGAGAGUCACACAGAACAACUAGGCUGAAAGGGAACAUGAGAGGUCAACUGGGCCAGCUUGCUGCUCAAAGCAGGCUCAAUGCCAAAAUUAGACCAAGCUUUUGUCCAGUCAGGUCUUGAAAUCCUUCACGAAUUAACGAACCUUCAAAACCUUUCUGAGGAACCUGCUCCAAUGCCCAAUUACGUGGCAUUAGCCUCCAUGUCUUUGGGCAGAAGGAUACCAGAUGGGACAGAUGCUUUCAGUGAGACUCGAGU